rnacentral:rRNA from 1 species
UACGUAGGGUCCAAGCGUUGUCCGGAUUUAUUGGGCGUAAAGAGCUCGUAGGCGGUUCGGUAAGUCGGAUGUGAAAACUCAGGGCUCAACCCGGAGACGCCAUCCGAUACUGCUGUGACUUGAGUCUGGUAGGGGAACACGGAAUUCCUGGUGUAGCGGUGAAAUGCGCAGAUAUCAGGAGGAACACCAGUGGCGAAGGCGCCGCUCUGGGCCGUGACUGACGCUGAGGAGCGAAAGCGUGGGUAGCAAACAGG